AUUGAACGCUGGCGGCAUGCCUUACACAUGCAAGUCGAACGGUAACAGGUCUUCGGAUGCUGACGAGUGGCGAACGGGUGAGUAAUACAUCGGAACGUGCCUAGUAGUGGGGGAUAACUACUCGAAAGAGUGGCUAAUACCGCAGGAGAUCUACGGAUGAAAGCAGGGGAUCGCAAGACCUUGUGCUACUAGAGCGGCCGAUGGCAGAUUAGGUAGUUGGUGGGAUAAAAGCUUACCAAGCCGACGCUCUGUAGCUGGUCUGAGAGGACGAUUAGCCAGACCGGGACUGGGACACGGCCCACACUCCUACGGGAGGCAGCAGUGGGUGAUUUUGGACAAUGGGCGCAAGCGUGAGCCAGCAAUGCCGCGUGCAGGAUGAAGGCCUUCGGGUUGUAAACUACUUUUGUACGGAACGAAAAGCCCCGGGUUAAUACCCUGGGGUCAUGACGGUACCGUAAGAAUAAGCACCGGCUAACUACGUGCCAGCCGCCGCGGUAA
rnacentral:rRNA from 1 species